GUAACUUUACACAGAAAUGGAAAGGUGAAUGACAUAAACAUCUGCCCUCGAGGAAUAUUUGAAGUCCACCUGCCAGCUUCAUGCUGUGGUAAAUACUUCUCAUAUGUAUCAGUGGAGGGUGUGGAGCCAUAAAUGACUGCCAUCAAAUCUACAAAUCAUAUCAGAAGGUAAGCUCUCGUUACUGAACACCCAACACCCAACUGCAAUUACAUGUUUCAGCUGUAGGCAUGUCAUCGAAGCUGCUGAGGCAGCGACUUUGGAUCCAUUAAGGCCUCCGGUGUUUGAGAGUGACGCUGUCAGUCUGGUUUGUCAUACAGGGAAACUGAAUCCCCCCCACAAACAACUGGGUAUCCUUUUAACAUUGCCCCUGGCAUGUUAGCUGCCUUGCCUGCCUAAAUAUCAGAAGUCACCCGGAAGCCCGAGAUUCAAGUCCUCCCAAAGCAGUGAACCCUAUCUGAGCAGCUGCAUUGUACUUUAUGGAGAAAGCAUAUAGAGUUUCCUGAGGUGGAUAUUCCCAUAGGGGUAGUGUUUCAUUUGGAGUUAGAUGUUCCUGUGCCUUUUGUUUACGGUUCUGACAAGCUGAGCUCCAUCUAAUCAAAUGUAUAUCUGAUGGACAUGUCUGCCUUCCUCAUUGGGAAGGACAUUUCCUUUGGCAUGUACUGGUCACACACAGCACAGACCAUGCAAGCUCAAUGACAGGCAGCAGCAAUUUCUAAAUUCUUCAAUUGCAGUGGAAAGUCCUUUCUCAUCCACUUACGGACUCUGUCUGUCCUCUUUAUGCCUCAUUUCCCUCAAAUAAACACCAUGAUUGUAGUUCAAGGGGCAUUCAAGUAAAGCCAUUAGCUGAUUUAAAGAAGCAUUGACUGAUUUUUUUGGCCACUUCAUGACAGCAGAGCAACCUGUGAACAAAACGCUAACAUAUCAUCAUCAUAUAAAGUUGAUAUGGCUAAAAUGUUAGCAAACCGGGGGCCUAUUUACACAUAAAGCAGACACGCAACAACAUUAGCAUUCUUUUGAAGUUGUAUUUGUGGCCACACCCACUAAUCUAAGUCUAAUACUGACUCUCCUUUUAGCCCUGGUCUGGUCUCCACCAACUCCUGAGAAAAAUAUCAGACUCUUUAGCGGCUCUUUUAAUGCUCCACCAUGUUCACCAGCUAGUCACUAACUUUGCCUGUCUGCUGUUUGGUGCUUGGCAGAUAGUGUACACUGGUUCUGUCAGGGCUUUUUUCCCUUAGCUGCCUGCCGUGUCUGGAAACUGAUGAGAAUGAACCAAAGCAGUAAAGUUGCACAAAACAAUGAGAUGAAAGAUGCUAAAAUGCUCCGUAAAGCUGAGGAAAGUUGCAUAGCAAUUCUCUGUGGGUUUGUCACUAUGAGCACUACUUACUCCAUUGUUAAUAUAAAAACACUGAUUAUAGCAGCUUUAAAGCUAACUCUGUCUAACCAGAGAGAGAAAUGAGGAACUUAGCAAGUUUGUUAAUUACAUAACACAGUACAGCUUUAUACUGUAAAGGGAAAGAAAAAGACAGUUUGCCUUUACAAGUGAACACGUCACCAUAGAGAUGACUGUUUUUAUCUGUGGACUCCAAAUUUCAUUGGACAGCCAGAUUUCAAAGGGACCAAUAAAGAAGAGAUAUAAUGUGUGUUUCUUUGUAAGUGUGAAUGAAAUGUGUGCAUGUUUGUGCUCGGCUGUCCGUAGCAGUGUAUAAGGCGGUAAGAAAAAUGGAAGCUGCUCUUAGUGAAAAGGGGUUUUAUAGUGAUUCCUCUGCGGAGGUCAGCCGAUGUAUGAUCCUUCAUGCACAGAAAAGGCAGCGGGCAGGAGAGGAUCUGUGGAUGUGCACAUCAAAGGUGGGCGUCAGAACUCGUGUUUUUGUUUCAUUUUUCUUUUAUCUGCCGAUCAGUUGCUCCCUCUCUCUCUCUCUAUGAUCUGAGGCUUUUUUACCUUAUAUAGAAAACACUCCAGUCCACUCAGAGCACGCGUUCACAUGAGCUGAGGCUUGGAGGACGCUCCCAGGACUCUGCCUGUCCCUUCCCAUAACACGGGCAUUAGGAUAAACUAGGCACAAGGGGCCAGUGAAAGGGAAAAGAGGGCAUCUACAAAAGGCAGUGAACUGGAGGGAUCAGCAGGGAGAGUGGAAUUUCUUCAUUACUUUCUCCAACUUCUUAAGCUCUGCUCUGCAUUAUCUUUGUGCUUAAAGAAAGUCGCCACACUUGUCUGACCUCUGACUUUUCAUGGCUGAAUGUGUUGCGGCUUUGUAUACCGUUCACACAUUAACCCAAAUGUGUAAACCACCACUUAGGCCACUGUAAAUUUAUAUCUCUCAACCACACGGCAUUUUGUUGACAAACAGCUGAAUUCACGUAAAACACACACUGUGUUAUAAUGAAUUCCUUGGCUCUGGAUUUAACUCCAACUGGGCAGAGGCUGCACCGCUCAGCAGCAGUCUAACCGCAGAUUUCUGCAGUACAAGCCCAGCCAAAGGGCAAACCCUGACUGAAAGGAGGCCACAAGGCUGCUAGAAGCCAUGUCACAACAUUGAGCUAUUCUCACAUUCGACAUCGUUCAAGAUGUUCAGCUCUGAAAGCCUUCAGAGACGGGCAGUUUUAUAAACAACAGAGUCCGCAAAGCAGCAAAUGGUCUCUCUCUGAGGCAGGGAUGAGCAAAGUUUAAAGUUUAAAGUGGGUUGUGGUUCAGGUUGAACCGUGUUGAUGUAAGCCUUUUCCCAGAUGGUUUCGGUUUUAUCCACGCAGGUCCAAGUCCGGCCAGGGAAACAAAGAUCUGACCUCUCCCUAUUGAUCUCUUUGAUCACAGACUAUUCCAGUUGUUACUGGAACAGAGACAAUGCUGGGACAGUGCUGCGGCCAGGAACCAAAAACAAUCACACAAUCAGUGUGUCCUGUUGUAUCAUGUCCCUUUAAAACAAAUCCACAUGUCAACACAGUCCCCUCAUCAUUUUACUGUGACUACUUUUCAGUGAGUGAGGAGCAACACUUAGUCUGUGAAGUCUCACAAUCCAUUUGAGAUAAUAACAUUAACAGUCAACAAUAAAAUCCCCAAAAGUGCACACAUUCAAAAAUUCACACAGUGACUUUUCAGUCAUCUGAACUAGAACCAUUAAAUAUGAAAUGUUUCCAUAUCCAACACUGAAGAAUCACAGAUCAGAUCCGUUUAAGGCCUGGUGACAACCACAUAGGAAAAUAGUUAUUAAAGGUCUGAAAACAUCCAAAGUGCUUGCUUCGUUUAAUAUUUCCCACACUAAAGCACAAGCAGCUUCAUGGUCUAGUUCUCCUUUGUAAAGAAUAGGGUUUGUAUUUGGGUGAGAGAGCUACACGAAGCAGUAAACAAGGUCCAUGAAAAUUGGUCCUUCUGGAUUGACUCCAUAAUGUGCUAGCCUGUAGGCAGCUGUAUAUGCACAGACCGUUAUGAUGCAAUCCACUAUGUUUUCAUAUUAUAGAAAUUGCAUGUAUGUAUAUAUAUAUAUAUGGUUUGUGCAGCAAGAUGCUGGGAAUUGAGAUCCUGGUAUUUCCCAGGAAUUAUUGCCAAAGUCUGCUCCAGUUUUGGGGAAUUAUACCUGCAGGAUUUUUAGCAUGUGUGUUUAUGUGUCUGGGUGCGCCUGUGUUCACAUACUGAAGAAUAUUGUAUGAAAGACGCCCUCUCCAGGCCUCAUUAGUGCUGUCAGACCUUGAAAUGCUGUUAUCACGGAUCAACUUUUAUUGUUCAGUUAGUUUUGUUACGGUUAUGACAUGUCUGUGUUUCCUUGUGUUUCCAGUUGUUUUUCCCCUUCCCUGUGUCUCUUGUUUUCCCCCGUCUGUCUCUCUCUCUGUGUGUCGGUUGGCAAGGGCGUGGCUGCCCUUCCCCUAUCUCUCUCUCUCCUGGCUCUUCAUCUACCAAUCACUGCGCCCACUGCGUCAACUCACCUGCCUCCUAUCAGCUCAUCGCCUGCAGCAUAUCUACUCCGGCUCUUCAUCCAUUCAUCGCCAAAUUGUUGUUUCAACCUCCGUGGACCACUGCUUGCCUGCCUGACAGCCAUGCUUCCAUCUGCCACGCCACCUCCACCGCCAUUACCUCCACAUUCUCCAUUCCCUGCCUGCUCUGGAUUCCCAACCCCGGCCUUCAUCCCACCAUCAUUCCCCUCUUAUCAAUAAACCCUUUCCCUUCACUA